UGAUUUCGUUGUAGAGCGCAACGAACAAAAAAUAAAGAAAGCUCACGGAGA
rnacentral:ncRNA from 1 species